rnacentral:rRNA from 1 species
GAUGAACGCUGGCGGCGUGCCUAAUACAUGCAAGUCGAGCGAACAGACGAGGAGCUUGCUCCUCUGACGUUAGCGGCGGACGGGUGAGUAACACGUGGAUAACCUACCUAUAAGACUCGGAUAACUUCGGGAAACCGGAGCUAAUACCGGAUAAUAUAUUGAACUGCAUGGUUCAAUAGUGAAAGACGGUUUUGCUGUCACUUAUAGAUGGAUCCGCGCCGCAUUAGCUAGUUGGUAAGGUAACGGCUUACCAAGGCAACGAUGCGUAGCCGACCUGAGAGGGUGAUCGGCCACACUGGAACUGAGACACGGUCCAGACUCCUACGGGAGGCAGCAGUAGGGAAUCUUCCGCAAUGGGCGAAAGCCUGACGGAGCAACGCCGCGUGAGUGAUGAAGGUCUUCGGAUCGUAAAACUCUGUUAUUAGGGAAGAACAAAUGUGUAAGUAACUAUGCACGUCUUGACGGUACCUAAUCAGAAAGCCACGGCUAACUACGUG